GAGCACGUAGGUGGGUUUGUAAGUCAGGUGUGAAAGCCUUCUGUUCAAAGGAAGAACGGCAUCUGAAACUGCAGAUCUUGAGUGUAGGAGGGGAGAGUGGAACUUCUGGUGGAGCGGUGAAAUGCGUAGAUAUCAGAAGGAACGUCGGCGGCGAAAGCGACUCUCUGGCCUAUUACUGACACUGAGGUGCGAAAGUUAGGGGAGCAAACGGGAUUAGAUACCCCGGUAGUCCUAACCGUAAACGAUGGGCACUAAGUAGAGGGAAUUACCAAUGUUCUCUCUGCCGUAGCUAACGCAUUAAGUGCCCCGCCUGGGGAGUACGGCCGCAAGGCUAAAACUCAAAAGAAUUGACGGGGGCUCGCACAAGCGGUGGAGCAUGUGGCUUAAUUCGAUGCAACGCGAAAAACCUUACCGGGGUUUGACAUGGUAGAAGUAGGAGCCCGAAAGGGUAACCAACGGUAUCCAGUCCGUAACUAUCACAGGUGUUGCAUGGCUGUCGUCAGCUCGUGUCGUGAGACGUUGGGUUAAGUCCCCUAACGAGCGAAACCCUUGUUUUUAGUUACCAUCGGGUUAUGCCGGGUACUCUAAAAAGACUGCCGUCGUCAAGACGGAGGAAGGUGGGGAUGACGUCAAGUCAUCAUGGCCCUUAUACCCCGGGCUGCACACGUGCUACAAUGGUCGGUACAAAAGGAAGCAAGACCGAGAGGUGAAGCGAAUC
rnacentral:rRNA from 1 species